AGAAAAAUAGCUUUGCCUAAUAUUUUUAUUGUUUGCUUGUGAAUUCAACAGCCAUCUUCCUGCGUGUUUGGCUUCCGAGAAAGAUUUCCUUUGGUUAAAGCUCUUGAGCUAUUAUCAGUUCAUUUUUUUGAUCCGAUCAGACUCGCUGAGUCAGUUUUUCCUCGACUCGGUCGUGUGUCGGAUGAGUAGAUAGAAGGAAGAUCGCUGUGUAUAAUCGCCAUGGCUGCUCCUGUUAACAUUAUUGUAGGCUCUCAUGUAUGGGUUGAAGAUCCAACACUCGCAUGGAUUGAUGGGGAAGUUUUAAAAUCAGUGGCGAAGAAGUUCAUGUCAACACAACAAAUGGAAAAACUGCUGUGGUAAAUAUCUCAAAGGUUUAUCCAAAAGAUACUGAAGCACCUCCCGGAGGUGUUGAUGACAUGACAAAGCUCUCAU